UACGUAGGGAGCGAGCGUUGUCCGGAAUUACUGGGCGUAAAGGGCGCGUAGGUGGGCGUUUAAGUCAGAUGUGAAAACUCCGGGCUCAACUUGGAGAUUGCAUUUGAAGCUAGAUGUCUUGAGGGCAGGAGAGGCAAGCGGAAUUCCGUGUGUAGCGGUGAAAUGCGUAGAUAUACGGAGGAACACCAGUGGCGAAGGCGGCUUGCUGGACAUUAACUGACGCUAAGGCGCGAAAGCGUGUGGAGCAAACAGGAUUAGAUACCCCGGUA
rnacentral:rRNA from 1 species